rnacentral:rRNA from 3 species
UGGGGAAUCUUAGACAAUGGGGGCAACCCUGAUCUAGCCAUGCCGCGUGAGUGAUGAAGGCCUUAGGGUUGUAAAGCUCUUUCAGCUGGGAAGAUAAUGACGGUACCAGCAGAAGAAGCCCCGGCUAACUCCGUGCCAGCAGCCGCGGUAAUACGGAGGGGGCUAGCGUUGUUCGGAAUUACUGGGCGUAAAGCGCACGUAGGCGGACCAGAAAGUUGGGGGUGAAAUCCCGGGGCUCAACCUCGGAACUGCCUUCAAAACUAUUGGUCUUGAGUUCGAGAGAGGUGAGUGGAAUUCCGAGUGUAGAGGUGAAAUUCGUAGAUAUUCGGAGGAACACCAGUGGCGAAGGCGGCUCACUGGCUCGAUACUGACGCUGAGGUGCGAAAGCGUGGGGAGCAAACAGG